rnacentral:lncRNA from 1 species
UUUUUACUUAAACAUUAUCAGAGAGGUUAUGAAGCCUUCCUGAAUGCUCAUUCAAGGUUGUACAAGAAGCAUGGCACCAGCAUCUGCAUCUGAUGAGGACCUCAGGGUGCUUCCACUUGUGGCGGAAGAAGGGGAGCCGGCAUGUGCAGAUAUCACAUGGAGAGAGAUGAAGGAAGAGAAAGAGGAGGAAGCUUCCAGGCUGUUUUUAACAAUCAGACCUCACAGGAACUAAUAGUGUGAGAAGAUGUUUAACAUAUUCUGAUAAAAAAGAUAUUCAUAAUAAACUGCCGUGAGAUAACUGCUGUA